UACAGAGGGUGCAAGCGUUAAUCGGAAUUACUGGGCGUAAAGCGUGCGUAGACGGUUAUUUAAGUCAGGUGUGAAAGCCCCGGGCUCAACCUGGGAAUUGCAUUUGAGACUGAAUAGCUAGGGUGCGGAAGAGGGUAGUGGAAUUCCAGGUGUAGCGGUGAAAUGCGUAGAUAUCUGGAGGAACACCGGUGGCGAAGGCGGCGUCCUGGACCAACACUGACACUGAUGAGCGAAAGCCAGGGGAGCAAACGGG
rnacentral:rRNA from 1 species